AGAGUGAACGCUGGCGGUAGGCCUAACACAUGCAAGUCGAACGGCAGCACAGUAGGAGCUUGCUCUUACGGGUGGCGAGUGGCGGACGGGUGAGGAAUACAUCGGAAUCUACCUUUUGGUGGGGGAUAACGUAGGGAAACUUACGCUAAUACCGCAUACGCCCUUCGGGGGAAAGCCGGGGACCAGCAAUGGCCUGGCGCUGAUAGAUGAGCCGAUGUCGGAUUAGCUAGUUGGUGAGGUAAUGGCUCACCAAGGCGACGAUCCGUAGCUGGUCUGAGAGGAUGAUCAGCCACACUGGAACUGAGACACGGUCCAGACUCCUACGGGAGGCAGCAGUGGGGAAUAUUGGACAAUGGGCGCAAGCCUGAUCCAGCCAUACCGCGUGGGUGAAGAAGGCCUUCGGGUUGUUAAAGCCCGUUUUGUUAGGAAGUAAAAGCAGUUACGGUUAAUACCCGGUGUUCUGACGGUACCCAAAGAACUAAGACAACCGGCUAACUUCGUGUCCAGCAGCCG
rnacentral:rRNA from 1 species